UUUCCGUAGGUGAACCUGCGGAAGGAUCAUUAAUGAGUUGUCAUGGGGUUCGAUGCUGGCAGCCAAUUUUUGGAUGCAUGUGCUUGCCCUAACAAUCAUCUUCCAAACACCUGUGCACAUUUUUGAGGGAGUCUUGAGUUGGUUGCCGCUCUUGGGUGAUUUUCUCACAUUCCCCUAAAUCAUUAUACGCUAUUAACAAUGUUGAACGUGCUCUGUGCCGCAAGGCUAUUAAUAUAAUACAACUUUUAACAACGGAUCUCUUGGCUCUC
rnacentral:misc_RNA from 1 species